UACGUAGGGUGCAAGCGUUAAUCGGAAUUACUGGGCGUAAAGCGUGCGCAGGCGGCUAUGCAAGACAGAUGUGAAAUCCCCGGGCUCAACCUGGGAACUGCAUCUGUGACUGCAUGGCUGGAGUACGGCAGAGGGGGAUGGAAUUCCGCGUGUAGCAGUGAAAUGCGUAGAUAUGCGGAGGAACACCGAUGGCGAAGGCAGUCCCCUGGGCCUGUACUGACGCUCAUGCACGAAAGCGUGGGGAGCAAACAGG
rnacentral:rRNA from 1 species